AAAAAAGGUAAGCUACUAAGAGCGAAUGGUGGAUGCCUUGACUGGUAAAGGCGAUGAAGGACGUACUAGACUGCGAUAAGCUACGGGGAGCUGUCAAGAAGCUUUGAUCCGUAGAUUUCCGAAUGGGGCAACCCAAUGUAUAGAGAUAUGCAUUACCUAUAUAGGAGCGAACGAGGGGAAUUGAAACAUCUUAGUACCCUCAGGAAAAGAAAUCAAUAGAGAUUGCGUCAGUAGCGGCGAGCGAAAGCGCAAGAGGGCAAACCCAGUGCUUGCACUGGGGGUUGUAGGACUGCAAUGUGCAAGAGGUAAGUUUAGCAGAACAUUCUGGAAAGUAUAACCAUAGAGGGUGAUAGUCCCGUAUGCGAAAAACAAACCUUAGCUAGCAGUAUCCUGAGUAGGGCGGGACACGAGGAAUCCUGUCUGAAUCCGGGUCGACCACGAUCCAACCCUAAAUACUAAUACCAGAUCGAUAGUGCACAAGUACCGUGAGGGAAAGGUGAAAAGAACUGAGGUGAUCAGAGUGAAAUAGAACCUGAAACCAUUUGCUUACAAUCAUUCAGAGCCCUAUGUAGCAAUACAGGGUGAUGGACUGCCUUUUGCAUAAUGAGCCUGCGAGUUGUGGUGUCUGGCAAGGUUAAGCAAACGCGAAGCCGUAGCGAAAGCGAGUCUGAAUAGGGCGCUUAGUCAGAUGCUGCAGACCCGAAACGAAGUGAUCUAUCCAUGAGCAAGUUGAAGCUAGUGUAAGAACUAGUGGAGGACUGAACCCAUAGGCGUUGAAAAGCCCCGGGAUGACUUGUGGAUAGGGGUGAAAGGCCAAUCAAACUUCGUGAUAGCUGGUUCUCUCCGAAAUAUAUUUAGGUAUAGCGUUGUGUCGUAAUAUAAGGGGGUAGAGCACUGAAUGGGCUAGGGCAUACACCAAUGUACCAAACCCUAUCAAACUCCGAAUACCUUAUAUGUAAUCACAGCAGUCAGGCGGCGAGUGAUAAAAUCCGUCGUCAAGAGGGAAACAACCCAGACUACCAGCUAAGGUCCCUAAAUCUUACUUAAGUGGAAAACGAUGUGAAGUUACUUAAACAACCAGGAGGUUGGCUUAGAAGCAGCCAUCCUUUAAAGAAAGCGUAAUAGCUCACUGGUCUAGUGAUUUUGCGCGGAAAAUAUAACGGGGCUAAAGU
rnacentral:rRNA from 1 species